rnacentral:rRNA from 1 species
CGUGCCUUUGAGUGGGGGAGUAACUAGUCGAAAGAUUAGCUAAUACCGCAUACGAUCUACGGAUGAAAGUGGAGGACUCGUAGGAGCCUCAUGCUCAAAGAGCGGCCGAUAUCUGAUUAGCUAGUUGGUGAGGUAAAGGCUCACCAAGGCAUCGAUCAGUAGCUGGUCUGAGAGGACGACCAGCCACACUGGGACUGAGACACGGCCCAG